CCGCGGCCGUGUGCCAUCCGCGCGGUAGCCGGGACCCGGGACCCGGGGCGCGGGCUGGGGCGGGGGCGAAGGGAGGAGGCGACCCGCUUGUUAUUGUCCGCUCGCUGCCUGGCGCCCGCUAUCCCCCCGCCCCCAGCUGCCCACCCAGCCCCCACCCGCCCGGGCAGCCCGCGGGGGCUCCGGGCACCGACGUGCGCGCGUGCAUGCUUGGCCCUGCUCCCUGCCACAGCAGCGCCCGACCCGGGGCGUGCGUGCACCGCGUAGUCGGCGAUCGGAGUCCCGAAGCCGCUUCCAGUGCGUGUGGGCACGGGUGUAGACAGUGCGUGGAAAGGCUGUGCUUUGGGGGAGCCGGGGUGUCUGUGCCCUGCGCGCGUGGCACCGGUACUCCACGGGGAAAGGAUGGACGUGCCUAGGUGGACGGUGCGCUGGACACGACGUGUGUGGCGUGGAGGAGGCCAGCUCCGGGGUCGGCGACCGGCUCUUUGGGACAGUUUGCGUGGAAGUGCGGCGUAUUCAAGAGAGAGAGGCAACAGUUUGGGGCAAGGCAGGCAGGGGUUAGGAAGAAAAGGCAAACUGAGUUAAUGAUCCCAGGGUGUCUAGCGGAGAAAGUGGCAACCUUGUAGAUGGAAACACCUCUUCCCCCGCCCCCCCCCAAAAGCAUUUGACACAGUGUAGGGAAGAGUGACAUCUAAUUCCUCACUUUGAGUUUGCAUGAAGGGCCUAAGGGUUACUGAGAUAUAAACAGGAUUGUGUGGGAAAAGCAGCGCCAUUUUUAUUCAGAAAAGAAAGUUUGGGAGUAUUUGUCAGAGUGACAUUUAGGGUAGUUGGUGGGGCAGAGAUAAUUGCUUUAGCCCAGGCUAGAGGUAGUUCACUGAAAAUUUUGCUUAAAAUUAUUUCAAGUGGACUUGAUCUAGAAGUGUUUGCACUUUCCAAGGGAUCCGGGUUCACUGUCCACCCGAAUGUGUUGCUGUCAUUGAUGUCAUCAGGGAUUUCAUUUAUAAUACUGGAUUCCUCUGUGUCCAGACUCCGUUUCAUAGCAGCAAGACGGGAAACGACCCCUGUGUCUAACGUUAUGACACUAAGUGCUUUGUGCUUCAGUGUUUUAAAAAGUUAAAUAGAAGUAUGUUCAAUGAGUAUAAAAAAAUUCUACCUCUGUUCAGAUCUGAAUUCCUUACUUAUAGUUCAGUAAUAGCUGUUGGUUCUUAGUAAAUACCUAUCCCCCAUACAUCUUGAACUAUAGUUAUAAUGUGAAUCUUGCUAAUAGGUUCAAGUGCCACUAGUGAAAUUAAUCGCAUACUAUAAGAAAGUAGUCUUCUCUGUUUAUUAGUAAACUGAUCAGAACUUACGGUUUUUCGUCUUCUCAGCCCUGUGGAGAAUUCUCACUUUUCUGAAGUGAAGCACAGUGUAUGGCCUUUUAGUGUAUUACAACCCUCCUUGACUUAAGUAGGUUGCUGCCAAGGUAUCAGCAAAUGCAGGAUGAAGAAAUAAAUGACGUUCUCAGUUUUGAGCCUUUUGAAGAUAAUGACUUUUAGGAGCAGAAGGUGAAUGGCAACCAAACAAGAAAAUCAAAGCCGUAAUGAGCCUCGGCCUUCAUACUGAGAGCCCUGCCGUACUGAGGCAAUCUGCUGUGGAAGAUUCCUUUUCAUCAGGAAGGCAUAUGGGCCUGAGAAUCUUGAAUCUGUAUUUUGGGCCCUGUCAGUUAACUAAUUUUAGAAAUGUCACUUUACAUAAAUGAGUUUCCCCCUGUGUAAAAUGUGUGUUGCACUUAGUUUUAAAAUUCCAUGAUUCUGUGUUUGUUUCAUCAAGCUGCCUCAAAUUCUUUUUGGACCGAGUUGGAGGGAAUAUAAAUAUGAACUCAGGGGAGGAAAAGGGGCUAAUAAAUUUCGAAGUUGAAACUGCCUCUGUGGUUAAUCUGAGGCAGUGAGGCCAAGGACCAUGUGGCCUAAACUGUAAUCCAUGUCGGUUUCCCUGUGUCUGUUUCCCUUCAUAGGUAGGAAGUAGUCAUGCUGUGGUGAUGACUGGCUUGGAACCAGAUUCUGCCAGCCUUGUGCUCGUUGGUAAAUUACUGUAUAUUUCUUUAAGGCCCAGUUUCCUCACCUAUAAAAUAAAGAUAAUAAAUAGUAGCUAUUUGUAGAUUAUUGUGGAGAUUAAAAUACAUAAUCUAUGUAAAGUACCUGGCCCCUAGUAUACAUCUGCUGCACGUUCCUUUCUUCUUUACAAAUUAUGAAAUAUUUGGAACUUGUCUUCUGUUUUUCUUUUGGGAAGUUAACAUCUGUUCACAUAUAUUCCAUUUUAAAUCUCUAGGACUUCCUUUUUAGGAAGGGAGAUAUCAGGCUCAGGUUCAGUCCUAUUCCCCACACAGUGAUUAAAGUAGGAUUAAAAUCUCAUUUUGAAUUUGGAGUCAAAAGUGGUUUUUCUGCUUCCUCACUGUUCAAGAGUUCUUUGUCCCCUGCUUUAAAAGUGCUUCCUGUGUUAUUACUGCCUCGAUAGGUACAAAUAACCCUAGUCUCUGUUUACUGUGGCACAUCAGGGCUGACUUUCCAGGGAAAUAAUCAAAACAGCUCACACACAGCUUUUGCCUGCAGUUGAUUUAACAGGUGGGAGUCUACGAUGAUAGAACUUGGCAAGACUUCUUUAAAAUAAAACAACCUGUAAACAGGGCCCCCAGCAGAGCGAUCAUUUAAUGAUUUUACAAAUGACGUGGGUCCUGCUUUGGUAAACGUGUAGGGUUUGGAAAAGGGGAGGGAUAGCUGAUGUGUGGAAAGAUAGAAUUCGGAUUCAGGAGAUCUGAAUAGGCAGCAAUGAUGUGCCCCCCUCCUUUGCUUAUCAGAAGCCUCACUGUUCUUCCAAGCCCGCAUCCAGUGCACCUUGCAGAUGAAUCUUUUCCUGAAUCCCAUCCGAUGUGACUGCUGUUGUAUUUGAACCACAGUAGCAUUUUGGAUUUGGCACUGUGCUGGCAUUUACACUCUGCUUAAUGUUGUAUGUAUCUGGCAGGGUUCUGGUAGGAGACAGAUUGAACUAGGUAACCAAGGAGACUUUAAGAACCAUUUACUAAGAUAUGGGCAGGUUUAGGGAAAUCGGCAAGGAAUAGGGUGGUCUCCCAGGACCAGCUCCUCUAGGCCUGGAGGGGCCAGAGGAAGGAAGGGCAGAGCCCUAAGGGGGUCAGAACCCCACGAGGGGAGCUGUAGGGGCUCCUGUCAGGAGCAGCUGUGGCCCCCAACGAGGGACCCAUCCAGCCUGCGGUAGGGUCCGCAGGCUGAAUACCCCACUCCCUCCCAUCCUCUCUUUCCUGCUGGUGCCUCCUUCAGAGGGCAAGUUGAUACUUUGGGGGCGCAGAGGACAGUGGAGAGUGGGUCUGGAGGCCGUGGAAAUCCUGUGCAGGACGUUGUGAUUACUGACAUGUCCUUUACAGUGUUACUCAUCUCUCUAC